AACCCACCACUGAAACAUCUCCCUAAUAACUCUACUAUAUGAAUGGGCGCCACUUCCAAGUCUCACAACUUAGAUCGACACCAGCCUGAACAGAUGCAACGCAACCAUACGCUUUGCUCUGUUUUAACAGACACAACGCACACAACGCAGAUGACAAUUUUCCUCCAAAUCUGCAACUUCUUCUAAAACAAAUAGGAAUUCCUAGCUCGAGACCUUUCACACGAAGCCAAGCGCGUGAGUUGCAACGACUCCAAGCCUUGUUCAUAUCCUUGGACGUGUGUGAGGCCCUUAUCUAAGGGCCUAUACUUAUUAAAGUGUGAAGAUGCACAUCAAGACACCCCUAAUCCACCCAAUUAAAUGCCAAGGGCAAAGCAGCAGCAAAAGCAUAGAAAAUGGAGGUUCAUUUCAGUAUGAAGAAUGGAAAAGGGCCAAAUAUACCCCUCUACUAUGAAGAAUGAGGCCAACAGAAAGAGAAGGGAAAUCUUGGAGGGUGUUCGCCCCUAUGAUUUCUCCUUUAACCAAACCAACAACCUCUUCAGAUGUCCUGCAAACAUAUUCUGAUCUUGUGUAGCAAUUGUUAAAAAGUGGUUGAAGUUGUCCAAAAGCGUACUUGUAGGGAAGUCCUAUCUUUCAGAAGUGGUUGUGAUGAUAAUUUAGCCAUCAGACAAUUAGGUAGCCCAUUUACUAGAAUGCCGAUUGAUGUGAAAAAAUGGGCAGUGAUGAUGAUUUUCAUUGCAUUGAGAAGAUCAGACCCGUAUCUUGGCGGGGCGACCCAAGAUGGCAUCAUUUGUAAAUCGGUAUCUGCAGCCAUGGCGAUAUCGCUUUCCUUUUGCAUGUUUGAAUGGCAAAAUCUGAGCCCUAAUGCGUACAACAACCAUUUGAUGGUCAGUUAUCAAGAACUGAAAUACCUAAUUAUGUUCAGUUUUUCUUGGAAUACCGCAUUUCACAUGCAGUGCUCUAUUAAAUUUUAGCUCAAAAAUGAAAUAAUCGGAGUAACAAAAGGGAUUUUUCAGGGUGGUUGCACAUCUCUGGUAAGCCAGUGAUUUAUCUUAGCUCUAAUCAACAACCUUUUUAGCAUUGUA